UUGUGCCCGAUAUGCCAAAGGGAGGAGAGUAUAAUGAGGCAUGUUCAACGCCCUCCUCCCAUCAUGGCCUGAACUAGUUUUUCAGGUUUCUUUGAAAUCCCCUUGGCUGAGAGGACGGGUCCAUUCAAUUUGGUUGUGGGGCUUAGAAUUUUAUUUUCGGUUUACAGGGAUAAGCUUUAGCAUUGCUUUUAGGUAGUGUUGGCAGUAUAAGGCAUAGUUAGGUGGGGAAAAAGGAUGGUAAAAAGAGGAGAAAGAGAAGACCUUUUAAAGAUGAAGAAGGAGGUUAGCUGAUGGGAAGAAGAGAAAAGUACAAAUGGCUAGGGAGUGGCCAAGCCCUCCCACACCCACCUCCAUUGUCUCUGGGGAAUAUUGAGAGAGGUGCCUCUUGGAAAGAGGGUAUCAGGAAGAAGGAGACAGGCCCUCAGCACCUGAGGGAACUCUCCCAGCAGUUCUCAGAGCCAUCUUCGUUUCUCCAGGGCAUGUGCA
rnacentral:lncRNA from 10 species